AACGAACGCUGGCGGCAGGCUUAACACAUGCAAGUCGAACGCCCCGCAAGGGGAGUGGUAGACGGGUGAGUAACGCGUGGGAACAUACCCUUUCCUGCGGAAUAGCUCUGGGAAACUGGAAUUAAUACCGCAUACGCCCUACGGGGGAAAGACUUAUCGGGGAAGGAUUGGCCCGCGUUGGAUUAGUUAGUUGGUGGGGUAAAGGCCUACCAAGGCGACGACCCAUAGCUGGUCUGAGAGGAUGAUCAGCCACAUUGGGACGGAGACACGGCCCAAACUCCUACGGGAGGCAGCAGUGGGGAAUAUUGGACAAUGGGCGCAAGCCUGAUCCAGCCAUGCCGCGUGAGUGAUGAAGGCCUUAGGGUUGUAAAGCUCUUUCACCGAUGAAGAUAAUGACGGUAGUCGGAGAAGAAGCCCCGGCUAACUUCGUGCCAGCCGCCGCCGUAAGAC
rnacentral:rRNA from 1 species